UUACCACAUGAGUAAUUUGGGUAUACAGUAGGAAAAAGCACUCACCCAAUGUCGUGGCACCUGUAUUGCAUGAGGUUUUCACUCAUUCUUUAAACAGAGAUUCCCUGAAAGUCUACAAUCCGCAAAGUAAAGAGAUGGCUGUUGACAUUUUUUCAGCAGGUUCACAAUGUGGUGAAGAAUUCCAUCACUAACAGCUUGAAGGACCUCAACUUCCAGGCUGGAAGUGAUACACUUCUCCCUCAUGAACACAAACAGCCCAGCCGUCUAAAUCUCCCGCUCGUCUUCCUCUUCAGAUUUGUGAGACUUUAAAUGUGAAGAUAUUUAUUUCUGUUCUGCAGGGCCAGUUUCUGAAUGCAGAAGGAAGAGAAGGAGCAAACGAGAGCAGGCAGCAGGCAGAAGACAGCUUAGUCAUCUUGCCCUGUAUCCCAAAGGAGCUUCGAACCAGCAAGGUGCAAGCAGGAACAGAAAAAUGCUUCACGGACAGUAGUAAUCAAGCAAAAACUGAAAGAUUGGCAUAAAAAAACAAAUACUUUUUUUUUUAAGUUACAGGCACAAUUUUCAGGGUGCCAGGAAGCACUUGAA